rnacentral:rRNA from 1 species
AUUGAACGCUGGCGGCAUGCCUAACACAUGCAAGUCGAACGAGUGGCGGACGGGUGAGUGGUGUCUGGGAAACUGCCUGAUGGAGGGGUCUGAGUACUGGAACCGGUAGCUAAUACUGCAUACCGUCAGUUGUGCCGAGGUGGGAUUAGCUAGUUGGUGGGGUAACGGCUCACCAAGGCGACGAUGCCUAGCUGGUCUGAGAGGAUGACCAGCCACACUGGAACUGAGACACGGUCCAGACUCCUACGGGAGGCAGCAGUGGGGAAUAUUCGACAAUGGGCGAAAGCCUGAUAGAGCAAUGCCGCGUGUAUGAAGAAGGCCUUCGGGUUGUAAAGUACUGUCAGCGGGGAGGCGUUACCCGAAGAAGAAGCCCCGGCUAACUACGUGCCAGCAGCCGCGGUAAUAC